UGUAAAUGACUGAGCUCAUUUUUUAUUUUUAUUUUUUAUAAUAAGGCCAGCUGGUUAAAGAAGGGAGAAGAAAGAAGGGCGUGAAGGAAAAACACACCGCCACACUGAAACCAAGGCAACAGAGAAGAAGAAGCAAGUGGUAAGGAGAAGAAAGAAAGCCACGGAAGAAGCAAAAAAUAACACAAAAGCCAGAGAACUAUUGAAGUCCACAGUGCAAUGAGAGUGUAUCCACUGUGUUUUACCCACAUAUAAGUUUUUUUAUUUUUUGUUUUCGUUAAUUGUUGAUAGCACAGAUCAAGUGUCCCCUAGAGUUCCUCUGAGCACUUCAAUGGGGAUCUUCCAUCGACCUGAAAGAGUAUUAUCAUUCCUACUGAAGUGUUUGGGGGAACUCCUGGUGUCAUUUGAUGUUACAAGCUCAGAAAACACAGUAAGCAGGCUUCGUGAUACAGGGAGAACUUGUAAAGCAGCAGAAUUUCUAAAACCCCUCAAAAUGGUGCACACGGGUUAGAGUUAAUUCUUUCUUCUGUUUGUGCCAGAGCAGCAUCAUCACAGGAGCAUUGAUGAUUUUGGAUAUAGAGCUUCCACCAUAUCUUAAAAGAACCUGAGCUCCCAAGGAAAUCAACAAAGCCGGAAAUGCUCACGAUAGGUCCAGAUUUCAGUUUCAAAUUCAAAUGAAGAACUGUAAUCAAUCCAGAGCAAAUUACUUGGCGAACCACAUACCAUUAGGAAAGUGUUGGUGUCAAGUUUCCAACUCAUGAGAUUAUGCUUGAGUUGGACCUUCCUGCAAAGAUAAGGAAUAAGAAUUCAGCAGAACAAAAAAUUCCUUCUGCCAGCAUUUUGCAGCCUGCAAGACUGCCCUCUUUGUCAACAAACACCAUAUGCAGCUUAGACGUUUUUGCCUCUAAACCACUUGCGCAUGAAGAGCCUUUGUUAGUCAAUAAAUGACAAGGUUUUCUUUUAGACCCAAACAAAAGCUGGCUUCCUUUGAAAACUACACGGAUGACAGAUUCUGCUGAAAAUCAACCUGUUGCUGGAGUUGGCUUGGGCAAGCCUCCUCUAUAAGGUCCUGAUCAUGGUUUCGUUUGAACAGUUUUCUCUUGUUAUGCGUUGUAGCAGGGACUGGCUCCUGAUUUUCUUGCCUUUAUUAAUUUAAUGAAUUUCAGAAUUCACCA